UACUUCCACCCCCUUCUCAUUCCCCACCUCUAAACUGUAUACAUCCACGCACAUUCACAUACACAUAACGCAUCCUAUGUCUGACCGUCGAAGAAUCCGUCAUCAUCUACUUCAAGACUUCAUCGGAAAGUGGUUGUUCGACGAUCAUUAAACACCUGUCCUUUGAUCGAUCAUCAGCACACCGGACACCAGGGGGACACUAAUUACCUGAUGUUUCGAAAUCGGGUUUUUACUUAUGCUUUUAUCUUCACUCGGAGUUGCUUCUUUAUUCUCCUAAUAAAAAGUACAUAGAAUUCCACAAACACCAGGAAAAGAAGGAAAAGAAGGAAGGGUGACAAUUUCAGUGGUUAGUAAAUUUGAAUAGGAAAAGUGGAGGCUCAAUAUCUUGAAAAAACAUGUCAAGUUGGGGAUGCGUGAUUGCUUUGCGGGUGUUUGAUGUUAAGUUUCAACGAAAUGGCUCUAUGCAAAAGAGGUUUAUAAUGUACUCAAUCAUACAGCCGGAAUGCACAAUGCUUUGCACAAUACUUGAGGUGGGAAGUCGCUCUUGGCUGGUUACUUCACUAACAUGGUAUAUUAUUCUGAUGGUUUAUGUGUAGACAUUAAAGGUGCAUGAUGGCUGGAUAGAAUGUUAGGUGAAGUGCGUGGAAGUAACUUGAGAUUUGCUUGGCUAUGUGAUGAGUGUUGGGGAACCAAGGACAAAAUCCAAUAGUGCACAGACUCUCGAGUUCAAUAUGUUAUGUAUAAAAAUGAGCUUAGUUGAGGUUUGAUGGUGGAAUUAGGUUAUGUGUGUGUUUGAGUGUGUGAAGGUGAUGGGAGGUGGAAGAUGAAGUUAGAGAGAGAAGUUGUUAUGGAAUUAUUAAAAGGCUCAUUACAAUUUGUGUUAUGGAAGGGUAUUUAUACAAAUCUCUUAAUUAACACUAAUACCCUUUCCAUAGAUUAAAAUAUUACAAUUUAACACCAUUUAUAUUUCUAACAA